rnacentral:misc_RNA from 1 species
UGAGACUGGGACCUACCUGU